GACGAACGCUGGCGGCGUGCUUAACACAUGCAAGUCGAACGAAGUGGCGAACGGGUGAGUAACGCGUAAUCAACCUGCCCUUCCGAGGGGGACAACAGUUGGACACGACUGCUAAUACCGCAUACUGAAGGAGGGGAUUGCGUCUGAUUAGCUCGUUGGGUGGGUAACGGCCCACCAAGGCGAUUCUCAGGAGGCGGUCCGGGAGGGUGAACGGGCAAAAUGGGAACUGGACAAGGCCCAGAACCCUACCGGAAGAAACCAUGGGGAAACUUUCGGCAUGGGAGGAAGGCUGAAGGGGCAAACCCCGCGGAGUGAUGACGGCCUUCCGGAUGGUAAGCUCUUUUAAUCGGGGAACGGUACCGAAACAGAAAGCCACGGCUAACUACGUGCCAGCAGCCGCGGUAAUAC
rnacentral:rRNA from 1 species